AGUGAACGCUGGCGGUAGGCCUAACACAUGCAAGUCGAACGGCAGCACAGUAAGAGCUUGCUCUUACGGGUGGCGAGUCGCGGACGGGUGAGGAAUAUAACGGAAUCUACUUUUUCGUGGGGGAUAACGUAGGGAAACUUACGAUAAUAUAGCAUAUGACCUACGGGUGAAAGCAGGGGAUCUUCGGACCUUGCGCGAUUGAACGAGCCGAUGUUGGAUUAGCUAGUUGGCGGGGUAAAGGCCCACCAAGGGGCCGAUCCGUAGCUGGUCUGAGAGAAUGGUCGGCCACACUGGAGCGUGAACACGGUCCAGACUCCUGCGAGAGGGAGCAGUGGCGAAUAUUAGGCAGUAGUCGCAAACAUUGUCCAACCAUACCACGUGUGUGAAGGAGACCUUCGGUUUGUAAUGCCCUUUUUUUGGUUGAGAAAAGCUUCAGGUCGAGACCCCGCUGUUCUGACGGUACCCAAUAAAUAAGCACCGGCUAACUUCGUG
rnacentral:rRNA from 1 species